rnacentral:rRNA from 1 species
GACGAACGCUGGCGGCGUGCUUAACACAUGCAAGUCGUACGGUAAGGCCCUUUCGGGGGUACACGAGUGGCGAACGGGUGAGUAACACGUGAGUAACCUGCCCACAACUUUGGGAUAACGCUAGGAAACUGGUGCUAAUACUGGAUAUGUGCCCCUGCUGCAUGGUGGGGGUUGGAAAGCUCCGGCGGUUGUGGAUGGACUCGCGGCCUAUCAGCUUGUUGGUGGGGUAGUGGCCUACCAAGGCGGCGACGGGUAGCCGGCCUGAGAGGGUGACCGGCCACAUUGGGACUGAGAUACGGCCCAGACUCCUACGGGAGGCAGCAGUGGGGAAUAUUGCACAAUGGGCGCAAGCCUGAUGCAGCAACGCCGCGUGCGGGAUGACGGCCUUCGGGUUGUAAACCGCUUUCAGCAGGGACGAAGCUUUUUGUGACGGUACCUACAGAAGAAGCACCGGCUAACUACGUG